GACGAACGCUGGCGGCGUGCUUAACACAUGCAAGUCGAACGGUGAAGCGCCUUCCUUUUUGGUGGGUGUGGAUGAGUGGCGAACGGGUGAGUAACACGUGAGUAACCUGCCCCCUUCUUCUGGAUAACCGCAUGAAAGUGUGGCUAAUACGGGAUAUUCUGGGUCUGUCGCAUGAUGGGUCUGGGAAAGAUAUUGUUUCGGUGGGGGAUGGGCUCGCGGCCUAUCAGCUUGUUGGUGGGGUGAUGGCCUACCAAGGCGGUGACGGGUAGCCGGCCUGAGAGGGUGGACGGUCACACUGGGACUGAGGCACGGCCCAGACUCCUACGGGAGGCAGCAGUGGGGAAUAUUGCACAAUGGGCGCAAGCCUGAUGCAGCGACGCCGCGUGAGGGAUGGAGGCCUUCGGGUUGUGAACCCCUUUCGCCAGUGAAGCAGGCCUGCCUCGUUUGUGGGUGGGUUGACGGUAGCUGGAUAAGAAGCGCCGGCUAACUACGUG
rnacentral:rRNA from 1 species